AUUGAACGCUGGCGGCAGGCCUAACACAUGCAAGUCGAGCGAGAAAGUCUUCGGAUGAGUAGAGCGGCGGACGGGUGAGUAACGCGUAGGAAUUUGACGAGUAGUGGGGGAUAACGUUUCGAAAGGAACGCUAAUACCGCAUACGCCCUAAGGGGGAAAGCGGGGGAUCUUCGGACCUCGCGCUAUUGGAGGAGCCUGCGUAGGAUUAGCUAGUUGGUAGGGUAAAGGCCUACCAAGGCGACGAUCCUUAGCUGGUCUGAGAGGAUGAUCAGCCACACUGGGACUGAGACACGGCCCAGACUCCUACGGGAGGCAGCAGUGGGGAAUAUUGGACAAUGGGGGCAACCCUGAUCCAGCCAUGCCGCGUGUGUGAAGAAGGCC
rnacentral:rRNA from 1 species